rnacentral:rRNA from 1 species
CAGCUUAACUGUAGAACUGCCGUUGAUACUGCUAGUCUUGAGUAUAGUUGAGGUAGCUGGAAUGAGUAGUGUAGCGGUGAAAUGCAUAGAUAUUACUCAGAACACCGAUUGCGAAGGCAGGUUACCAAGUUAUAACUGACGCUGAGGGACGAAAGCGUGGGGAGCGAACAGGAUUAGAUACCCUGGUAGUCCACGCCGUAAACGAUGCUAACUCGUUUUUGGGCUUUAGGGUUCAGAGACUAAGCGAAAGUGAUAAGUUAGCCACCUGGGGAGUACGACCGCAAGGUUGAAACUCAAAGGAAUUGACGGGGGCCCGCACAAGCGGUGGAUCAUGUGGUUUAAUUCGAUGAUACGCGAGGAACCUUACCAAGGCUUAAAUGGGAAUUGACAGCUGUAGAAAUACGGUUUUCUUCGGACAAUUUUCAAGGUGCUGCAUGGUUGUCGUCAGCUCGUGCCGUGAGGUGUUAGGUUAAGUCCUGCAACGAGCGCAACCCCUGUCACUAGUUGCCAUCAUUAAGUUGGGGACUCUAGUGAGACUGCCUACGCAAGUAGCGAGGAAGGUGGGGAUGACGUCAAAUCAUCACGGCCCUUACGCCUUGGGCCACACACGUGAUACAAUGGCCG